rnacentral:rRNA from 1 species
CGUGUAGGCGGCGCUGUAAGUCGGAUGUGAAAUCCCUCGGCUCAACCGAGGACGUGCAUCCGAUACUGCAGUGCUUGAGUCUCGGAGGGGGUGGCGGAAUUCCUGGUGUAGAGGUGAAAUUCGUAGAUAUCAGGAGGAACACCUGUGGCGAAGGCGGCCACCUGGACGAGUACUGACGCUGAGACGCGAAAGCGUGGGUAGCAAACA